rnacentral:rRNA from 1 species
CCUACGGGAGGCAGCAGUGAGGAAUAUUGGUCAAUGGGCGGGAGCCUGAACCAGCCAAGCCGCGUGAGGGAAGAAGGUACAGCGUAUCGUAAACCUCUUUUGUCAGGGAACAAAGGCGGGGACUUGUCCCCGGAUGAGGGUACCUGAAGAAAAAGCAUCGGCUAACUCCGUGCCAGCAGCCGCGGUAAUACGGAGGAUGCGAGCGUUAUCCGGAUUUAUUGGGUUUAAGGGGUGCGCAGGCGGCCUGUUAAGUCAGCGGUAAAAGCCCGGGGCUCAACCCCGGCGCGCCGUGGAAACUGGCAGGCUGGAGUUGGAGAGAAGUACGCGGAAUGCGCGGUGUAGCGGUGAAAUGCAUAGAUAUCGCGCAGAACCCCGAUUGCGAAGGCAGCGUGCCGGCUCCACACUGACGCUGAGGCACGAAAGCGUGGGUAUCGAACAGGAUUAGAUACCCCAGUAGUC